CGCUAACACUCCUACGGGAGGCAGCAGUGAGGAAUCUUGCGCAAUGGAGGAAACUCUGACGCAGCCACGCCGCGUGCCGGAAGACGGGCCCUAUGGGUUGUAAACGGCUUUUAUUUGGGAAGAACCUGGGGAUUUGUCCCCACUGACGGUACCAAUUGAACAAGCACCGGCUAACUCCGUGCCAGCAGCCGCGGUAAUACGGAGGGUGCAAGCGUUGUCCGGAAUCAUUGGGUGUAAAGGGUGCGCAGGCUGGCGCCUAAGUCGGAGGUGAAAUCUUGCCGCUUAACGGUAAAAUUGCCCCCGAUACUGGGUGUCUUGAAUCUGACAGAGGUCGGUGGAAUUCGUGGUGUAGCGGUGAAAUGCAUAGAUAUCACGAAGAACAUCAGUGGCGAAGGCGGCCGGCUGGGUCAGUAUUGACGCUGAGGCACGAGAGCGUGGGGAGCGAACAGGAUUAGAUACCCUGGUAG
rnacentral:rRNA from 1 species